rnacentral:rRNA from 1 species
UACGUAGGGGGCAAGCGUUGUCCGGAAUCACUGGGCGUAAAGAGCUCGUAGGCGGCUUGUCGCGUCGACUGUGAAAACUCGGGGCUCAACUCCGAGCUUGCAGUCGAUACGGGCAGGCUAGAGUUCGGUAGGGGAGACUGGAAUUCCUGGUGUAGCGGUGAAAUGCGCAGAUAUCAGGAGGAACACCGGUGGCGAAGGCGGGUCUCUGGGCCGAUACUGACGCUGAGGAGCGAAAGCGUGGGGAGCGAACAGG